rnacentral:misc_RNA from 1 species
AACCUUAUGGACCUGCGGGCGUAUACCUGCGGAAGGAUCAUUACCGAGUUUACAACUCCCAAACCCCUGUGAACAUACCUAUACGUUGCCUCGGCGGAUCAGCCCGCGCCCUGUAAAAAGGGACGGCCCGCCCGAGGACCCUAAACUCUGUUUUUAGUGGAACUUCUGAGUAAAACAAACAAAUAAAUCAAAACUUUCAACAACGGAUCU